rnacentral:misc_RNA from 1 species
UCCGGCUUAUCACCGGCAGUCCCCUUAGAGUGCCCAGCUUAACCUGAUGGCAACUGGAGACGAGGGUUGCGCUCGUUGCGGGACUUAACCCAACAUCUCACGACACGAGCUGACGACAGCCAUGCAGCACCUGUGUCCGCGUCCCCGAAAGGAACACCGCGUCUCCGCGGCUGGCACGGCAUGUCAAGGGCUGGUAAGGUUCUGCGCGUUGCGUCGAAUUAAUCCACAUCAUCCACCGCUUGUGCGGGUCCCCGUCAAUUCCUUUGAGUUUUAACCUUGCGGCCGUACUCCCCAGGCGGUCAACUUCACGCGUUAGCUACGGUACUGAGGAAUCGCUUCCCCAACACCCAGUUGACAUCGUUUAGGGCGUGGACUAC